CGUGCACGGUUGGCUGUCCGGAACAUCCGGAACAAUUGGAACUGCAACCGAGUAAGACAGAACAGGAUCGGAACACUGUUCUGGACAUGUGCAGCCUGUCCCGCCAGAAGAGGUGGUGUGAGUGGAACAAUGACGUAAGCAAGAUGGCGACAGCAUGAGUUCAACUCAAGAUUCCCUUAUAGCCAAGUGGACUUGCUUUAUGUGUAAACAACACCCGACAAUCUACUCCUUAGAAGCAUUUGAGGAACAGGAAGAAAGUAAAAAAUAUAUUCCGUUGUUUGUUGACGGAAAUUAUAGGAUAUUCCUUCGGUGCACCCUAUGUAAUAAAACAUUCCAUGCACACUGUGCCAUCUACGACACACUAGAAUUGCUGCAGAGAGAAACAGCUGAUUUAGAAAUUUUAUGCAAUCCCUGUGCAAAUGGAUAUGGCCAGCAAUAAAAGUGUUAAGCUUCAAAUCAAUACACCAAGUGGCAGUAUUUCAGCAUACAUGGAGCCAGAGAUGGCCGAAUACUACAGAUCUAACAGUGAAGCCCUUGGAUCCCUUGUUAAGGAGCAUCUUCAGAUGUCUACUACAUUUGAUGGUGCAGCCAAUUCUAUCUCAAGCCCUUCAUUAAGGUCAACCAAUGUCAUCAGCCCAAGCUCAUCUUCUGUCAUCAGACCAAGCCCAAGCUCAUCUUCUGUCAUCAGACCAAGCCAAAGCUCAUCUUCUGCUGUCAGACCAAGCCCAAGCUCAUCUUCUGCCGGCAGAGCAA